GCUUGUCUCAAAGAUUAAGCCAUGCAUGUCUAAGUAUAAAUCUUUUACUUUGAAACUGCGAACGGCUCAUUAUAUCAGUUAUAGUUUAUUUGAUAGUCCCUUACUACUUGGAUAACCGUAGUAAUUCUAGAGCUAAUACAUGCGUCAAUACCCUUCUGGGGUAGUAUUUAUUAGAUUAAAAACCAAUGCCCUCUGGGCUCUCUGGUGAUUCAUGAUAACUUCUCGAAUCGCAUGGCCUUGCGCCGGCGAUGGUUCAUUCAAAUUUCUUCCCUAUCAACUUUCGAUGUUUGGGUAGUGGCCAAACAUGGUUGCAACGGGUAACGGAGGGUUAGGGCUCGACCCCGGAGAAGGAGCCUGAGAAACGGCUACUACAUCCAAGGAAGGCAGCAGG
rnacentral:rRNA from 1 species